CUCGCUCGAAGCGAGCACGGCCGCGGGCUCUGGAAGCCCUGCAGAAAGGGGGCCCGGUGGCCUGGAGCCAGGCCUAGACGGCCCCCGAGGGAAAUCCCGGCUGACCAGGCUGGGCUCGCGGCAGCCUCCGUUCCAGGACCCGGGGAUCGGCCUUCCCGAAGGGCUGCUGCGAUCCAGCCAAUCACCGCUUGAGGACCUCCCUCCGUCGCCGGAAGAAGCCGUCGUCCCGGGCAACCACGACGUCCGUUUUUCACUUAGGCGGCGGGAAACGGCCAUGAGUAAAGGCCGGGCGGAAGCCGGCGCGGGAGUGCCCGGUGUCCUCCUGAGGUACCUGCAGGAACAGAACAGGCCCUACAGCGCCCAGGACGUGUUCGGGAACCUGCAGCGGGAGCACGGGCUGGGCAAGG